GGGGCUGAUUCUGGAUUCGACGGGAUUUGCGAAACCCAAGGUGCAUGCCGAGGGGCGGUUGGCCUCGUAAAAAGCCGCAAAAAAUAGUCGCAAACGGCGAAAACUACGCUUUAGCAGCUUAAUAACCUGCUUAGAGCCCUCUCUCCCUAGCCUCCGCUCUUAGGACGGGGAUCAAGAGAGGUCAAACCCAAAAGAGAUCGCGUGGAAGCCCUGCCUGGGGUUGAAGCGUUAAAACUUAAUCAGGCUAGUUUGUUAGUGGCGUGUCCGUCCGCAGCUGGCAAGCGAAUGUAAAGACUGACUAAGCAUGUAGUACCGAGGACGUAGGAAUUUCGGACGCGGGUUCAACUCCCGCCAGCUCCACCA
rnacentral:tmRNA from 1 species